rnacentral:rRNA from 1 species
GUGGCGAACGGGUGAGGAACACGUGAGAAACCUGCCCCAGACUUUGGGAUAACAAAUGGAAACGUUUGCUAAUACCAAAUACCGUCGGAGAGUCACAUGACUUUCUGACGAAAGGUAUUCCGGUUUGGGAGGGUCUCGCGGCCUAUCAGCUAGUUGGCGGGGUAAUGGCCCACCAAGGCAACGACGGGUAGCUGGUCUGAGAGGAUGGUCAGCCACACUGGGACUGAGACACGGCCCAGACUCCUACGGGAGGCAGCAGUGGGGAAUCUUGCGCAAUGGGCGAGAGCCUGACGCAGCAACGCCGCGUGCGGGAAGAGGGCUUACGGGCUGUAAACCGCUUUCAGCAGGAACGAAAAUGACGGUACCUGCAGAAGAAGGACCGGCCAACUAU